CUACGGGGUGCAGCAGUGGGGAAUAUUGGACAAUGGGGGAAACCCUGAUCCAGCAAUGCCGCGUGUGUGAAGAAGGCCUGCGGGUUGUAAAGCACUUUCGGUUGGGAGGACUGCUUCUAGCACUAAUAUUGUUGGAAGUUGACGUUACCUUCAGAAGAAGCACCGGCUAACUCCGUGCCAGCAGCCGCGGUAAUACGGAGGGUGCAAGCGUUAAUCGGAAUUACUGGGCGUAAAGCGCGCGUAGGCGGCUAGAUCAGUCGGGUGUGAAAGCCCCGGGCUUAACCUGGGAACUGCAUCCGAUACUGUCGAGCUUGAGUACAGGAGAGGAGAGUGGAAUUCCACAUGUAGCGGUGAAAUGCGUAGAUAUGUGGAGGAACACCAAUGGCGAAGGCAGCUCUCUGGCCUGAUACUGACGCUGAGGUGCGAAAGCGUGGGAAGCAAACAGGAUUAGAUACCCCUGUAGUC
rnacentral:rRNA from 1 species